AUUGGACGCUGGCGGCAUGCCUUACACAUGCAAGUCGAACGGUAACGGGCCUUCGGGUGCCGACGAGUGGCGAACGGGUGAGUAAUACAUCGGAACGUGCCCGAUCGUGGGGGAUAACGAGGCGAAAGCUUUGCUAAUACCGCAUACGAUCUACGGAUGAAAGCAGGGGACCGCAAGGCCUUGCGCGGACGGAGCGGCCGAUGGCAGAUUAGGUAGUUGGUGGGAUAAAAGCUUACCAAGCCGACGAUCUGUAGCUGGUCUGAGAGGAUGAUCAGCCACACUGGGACUGAGACACGGCCCAGACUCCUACGGGAGGCAGCAGUGGGCAAUUUUGGACAAAGGGCGCAAGCCUGAUCCAGCCAUGCCGCGUGCAGGAUGAAGGCCUUCGGGUUGUAAACUGCUUUUGUACGGAACGAAAAGCCUUCUUUUAAUACAGGAGGGUCAUGACGGUACCGUAAGAAUAAGCACCGGCUAACUACGUG
rnacentral:rRNA from 1 species